rnacentral:rRNA from 1 species
AACGCUGGCGGCAUGCCUUACACAUGCAAGUCGAACGGCAGCACGGGCUUCGGCCUGGUGGCGAGUGGCGAACGGGUGAGUAAUACAUCGGAACGUGCCCUGUAGUGGGGGAUAACUAGUCGAAAGAUUAGCUAAUACCGCAUACGACCUGAGGGUGAAAGCGGGGGACCGCAAGGCCUCGCGCUACAGGAGCGGCCGAUGUCUGAUUAGCUAGUUGGUGGGGUAAAAGCCUACCAAGGCGACGAUCAGUAGCUGGUCUGAGAGGACGAUCAGCCACACUGGGACUGAGACACGGCCCAGACUCCUACGGGAGGCAGCAGUGGGGAAUUUUGGACAAUGGGGGCAACCCUGAUCCAGCAAUGCCGCGUGUGUGAAGAAGGCCUUCGGGUUGUAAAGCACUUUUGUCCGGAAAGAAAUGGCUCUGGUUAAUACCCGGGGUCGAUGACGGUACCGGAAGAAUAAGCACCGGCUAACUACGUGCCANCAGCCGCGGUAAUACGUAGGGUGCGAGCGUUAAUCGGAAUUACUGGGCGUAAAGCGUGCGCAGGCGGUUUUGUAAGACAGGCGUGAAAUCCCCGAGCUCAACUUGGGAAUGGCGC